rnacentral:piRNA from 1 species
UACUAUUUUGAGUACAUUGUGCCAAAGGC